AUCCCGCUCGGGCCCCUCAAAGCCGCUUUUCGGCCAUCGUGGAGCGCCCCGGCCCGGCUGGCGUCCCUUAGGCCUUCUCCUCAACUCACCAUGAUGGCGGCAGCGAGCAGUUCCUGACGAGGCUCGAGGAGGAGCAGAGGCUGCGCUUGUGGCACCACUCUGGGGGCUGCUGGUGCCCAGGCCCGGCUCGGAUGGGGCGCAGUGAAAAAAGUGAGCCGCUGGAGCCACAUUGUCUCCAUACCCCAGGAAAGAGCGCUGCUAUUACCCCAAGCAGAAGAGUUGCUGAGAUGGAUGACCUGGAUGGCUUUUCUCUGUGAGCACAUCCUCAAGAGGAGACCUUUCUACAGUUUCUGAGAUCAUGAAGUGAGCUGACGGCACGAGACAUGCGAGCCCCUCUCCCUGCUACAGCAGGCCUCCCGCCCUCAACACCACCGCGUGGUGGGCAGGGCUGUGGGAGCCUUUCCUACAUACUGCAGGAUAUUUAGCAGCACCCCUGGUCUUGACUCAUUGCAUGGGAGUAGCACCUUCUCCUCAAGUUAUGAUAAUCAAAGACACCUCCAGAUUUUGCCAGAUGCCCUGUGGGUGCACAACCAGCUCCAGCUGAGACCCAAUCCUCUGAAGGGAGUGCCUUUGAGAUCCUGUACUAGAGCUACGCUAGAAAAUGUCCUGAAGUCCUCCCCAGCACCAACAUUCGAGGACGCUCCCUGGUGAUUUGAGGCCAACCGUGAGGAAGCUGAUGAAUAAAUAGAAUGAGCACAGCCUCUUCCAGAGGUGUGGGGUGGGUGGAAAGGCACUCAUCUUUUAUCUUGCAAAUUGAAUACGGAAAUAAUUGCAAGAGAACAGGUAAGGCUUCCCACAUUGUCAGUUUUCACUAAAGGCACUUUUGUAACCAUGACUUCACUUCUGAAUUGACAUUGCAUUGGCUCCUCUGACAGCCUUAAAGAGAUACCAUCAAGACUUUGUCACAUAAAUUGAACAAUUGAGACAGAGCUUAGGCGACAAUAGAAUGAACUUCAACUGGAACAUGGUGGGGCAGAGAAAUUAACUCUGUGCCAACUCAGCCUUCCUGAAUCUCCUUAUCACCUGCCUUAAACCUGUUAUUGAACUGUUUAUCCAUUUGGAGCAUAAGGAAGACUUGUUGGGAAAGUCAACAUUGUAGCCUAGAAGGGAGAAAUAGCUGCUAAUCAUCUCAGCAAAUGAUACACUGCCUGUAGGCCCAGGUUGACAAGAGACGGAUGUAAGCAUGUCCGAUGGUCUGCAAAAGCAUGGCUCCAGAAGAUCACAAGAAUGAAAACGCCCCCAACAAUAACACGAAGGUAUUUGAAGUUGCUCGGU